AGAGUGAACGCUGGCGGUAGGCCUAACACAUGCAAGUCGAACGGCGAGCACAGGAGAGCUUGCUCUCUGGGUGGCGAGUGGCGGACGGGUGAGGAAUACAUCGGAAUCUA
rnacentral:rRNA from 1 species